rnacentral:lncRNA from 1 species
CCGUAAAGAGAUGAAGAAACAACCAAGUUCUAUUUUUCAGCUUAGAUAUUUUCUUAACAAAAUUUUUCUUUCUUGAAUUUUUGUUCUUCCCUUUUGCUAUUAUUCUUGUGCUUAUUUGGUGUUCUGUUCGUUUCAUCUUGGACUGGUGCAUCAUUCACAUGAGAGAUUAUAUUUUUCUACACCAGGUAGAUUCAUGACCUCC